AUUGAACGCUAGCGGGAUGCUUUACACAUGCAAGUCGAACGAGUGGCGGACGGGUGAGUAAUAUAUCGGAACGUGCACAGUAGCGGGGGAUAACUCAUCGAAAGAGUGACCAAUACCGCCUACUAUUGGAGCGGCCGAUAUCGGAUGAGCUAGUUGGUGUGGGAACGGCGCACCACGGCAACGAUCCGUAGAUGGUUUGAGAGGACGACCAGCCACAAUGGGAAUGAGACACGGACCAGACUCCUACGGGAGGCAGCAGUGGGGAAUUUGGGACAAUGGGGGAAACCCUGAUCCAGCCAUCCCGCGUGUAUGAGAAGGCCUUCGGGUUGUAAAGUACUUUUGGCAGAGAAGCGGUAUCUGCAGAAUAAGCACCGGCUAACUACGUGCCAGCAGCCGCGGUAAUAC
rnacentral:rRNA from 1 species